CAUUUUGUAAGGAAACCCCAACAAAGACUCUCCUUGACAAAACUUGAGUCAGGGGGUGCCAGGGUGGCUCAGUGGGUUCAGUGUCCAACUUUGGCUCAGGUCAUGAUCUCAUGGUUGGUGAGUUCGAGCCCGGUGUGCGCUCUGUGCUAACAACUCAGAGCCUGGAGCUUGCUUCAGAUUCUGUGUCUCCUUCUCUCUCUGUCCCUUCCCCACUUCUGCUCUGUCUCUCUUUC